rnacentral:rRNA from 1 species
AGUGAACGCUGGCGGUAGGCCUAACACAUGCAAGUCGAACGGCAGCACAGAGGAGCUUGCUCCUUGGGUGGCGAGUGGCGGACGGGUGAGGAAUACAUCGGAAUCUACUCUGUCGUGGGGGAUAACGUAGGGAAACUUACGCUAAUACCGCAUACGACCUACGGGUGAAAGCAGGGGGCCUUCGGGCCUUGCGCGAUUGAAUGAGCCGAUGUCGGAUUAGCUAGUUGGCGGGGUAAAGGCCCACCAAGGCGACGAUCCGUAGCUGGUCUGAGAGGAUGAUCAGCCACACUGGGACUGAGACAAGGUCCAGACUCGUAGGGGAGGCAGCAGUGGGGAAUAUUGGACAAUGGGCGCAAGCCUGAUCCAGCCAUACCGCGUGGGUGAAGAAGGCCUUCGGGUUGUAAAGCCCUUUUGUUGGGAAAGAAAUCCAGCUGGCUAAUACCCGGUUGGGAUGACGGUACCCAAAGAAUAAGCACCGGCUAACUUCGUGCCAGCCGCCGCCGUAA